GGCUUGGGCUGAAGCAUGGUCCGACAGUGAGCCUGCCCUCGGGCAGAGCACGUGUACUCUGGCAGGAUCUUAUAAACCUCGAUCCAAAGGCUAAGGAUUGAGCAUCGUUGUCUUUUUGGCACAGGCCUGAAUAUAACCCACUUCCAACUUGUGGAAUGAAUGUAUAUGGGAAUGAUGGAUUUCUGGAAAUGAUGUUCAUACAACAUCAAAUGCAGCAAAAGAAGGAGCAGGGAAUCUAAACAGAGCCAUGGGAAGGCAUACUGCUUUCACGGAUUGUUGUGUUUCCAUCACCAGGCAGUCAGUCCAGAUGAUCGAUAUAUAAUUACAGCUGAUCGUGAUGAGAAGAUUCGAGUUAGUUCCCUGGAGCAGCCGUACAUCAUUGAAGCAUACUGUCUGGGACAUCAUGAGUUUGUUAGUCAGCUUUCAAUUCCUCCAAACCAUCCACAGCUUCUGGUGUCUGGCUCUGGGGAUGGAACUAUUCGACUGUGGGAGUAUGAAAAAGGAAGUGAGCUGCACUGCCUCGAUUUGAGUGAGCUACAGCCUUCUCGAUGUGAGAAAGUAAGUCCAGUCUGCCUCACCGACUUCACCAGGUCGCCUGGGCCAGUCCACCCCACAGCUGCCUGUCUCACCUGAAGAUUACCAACACACAAAC